rnacentral:rRNA from 1 species
AUUGAACGCUGGCGGCAUGCCUUACACAUGCAAGUCGAACGGCAGCACGGGAGCAAUCCUGGUGGCGAGUGGCGAACGGGUGAGUAAUACAUCGGAACGUGCCCAAUCGUGGGGGAUAACGCAGCGAAAGCUGUGCUAAUACCGCAUACGAUCUACGGAUGAAAGCAGGGGAUCGCAAGACCUUGCGCGAAUGGAGCGGCCGAUGGCAGAUUAGGUAGUUGGUGAGGUAAAGGCUCACCAAGCCGUCGAUCUGUAGCUGGUCUGAGAGGACGACCAGCCACACUGGGACUGAGACACGGCCCAGACUCCUACGGGAGGCAGCAGUGGGGAAUUUUGGACAAUGGGCGAAAGCCUGAUCCAGCCAUGCCGCGUGCAGGAUGAAGGCCUUCGGGUUGUAAACUGCUUUUGUACGGAACGAAACGGCCUUUUCUAGUAAAGAGGGCUAAUGACGGUACCGUAAGAAUAAGCACCGGCUAACUACGUGCCAGCAGCCGCGGUAAUACGUAGGGUGCAAGCGUUAAUCGGAAUUACUGGGCGUAAAGCGUGCGCAGGCGGUUAUGUAAGACAGUUGUGAAAUCCCCGGGCUCAACCUGGGAACUGCAUCUGUGACUGCAUAGCUAGAGUACGGUAGAGGGGGAUGGAAUUCCGCGUGUAGCAGUGAAAUGCGUAGAUAUGCGGAGGAACACCGAUGGCGAAGGCAAUCCCCUGGACCUGUACUGACGCUCAUGCACGAAAGCGUGGGGAGCAAACAGG